rnacentral:rRNA from 1 species
UACGGAGGGUGCGAGCGUUGUCCGGAAUCAUUGGGCGUAAAGGGCGCGUAGGUGGCCUGCUAAGCGUGCGGUGAAAGUCGGGGGCUCAACCCCCGAUCGGCCGUGCGAACUGGGAGGCUUGAGCACUGUAGAGGCAGGCGGAAUUCCGGGUGUAGCGGUGGAAUGCGUAGAGAUCGGGAAGAACAUCGGCGGCGAAGGCGCUCUACUGGACCACAACUGACACUCAGGGACGAAAGCUAGGGGAGCGAAUGGG